rnacentral:rRNA from 1 species
GAUGAACGCUGGCGGCGUGCUUAACACAUGCAAGUCGAACGGGAAUGCCACGCUGAUGCGAUUUCGGUCAAAUCAUGUGGCAUUCGAGUGGCGGACGGGUGAGUAACGCGUGGGUAACCUGCCUUACACAGGGGGAUAACACCUGGAAACAGGUGCUAAUACCGCAUAAGCGCACAGGGCCGCAUGGCCCGGUGUGAAAAACUCCGGUGGUGUAAGAGGGACCCGCGUCUGAUUAGCUUGUUGGCGGGGUAGGGGCCCACCAAGGCGACGAUCAGUAGCCGGCCUGAGAGGGUGGACGGCCACAUUGGGACUGAGACACGGCCCAA